rnacentral:rRNA from 1 species
CGCACGGGUGAGUAACACGUGAAUUAUCUACCUCCCGAGUGGGGGAAUAACUGAGAGAAAUCUUAGCUAAUACCGCAUAACACUUACGAGUCAAAGCAGCAAUGCGCUUGGAGAGGAGUUCGCGGCCGAUUAGUUAGUUGGCGGGGUAAUGGCCCACCAAGACGAUGAUCGGUAUCCGGCCUGAGAGGGCGCACGGACACACUGGAACUGAAACACGGUCCAG